rnacentral:rRNA from 1 species
GACAGAGGGUGCAAACGUUGCUCGGAAUCACUGGGCGUAAAGGGCGUGUAGGCGGGAAGGAAAGUCAGAUGUGAAAUCCCUGGGCUCAACCCAGGAACUGCAUUUGAAACUCCCUUUCUUGAGUGUGGAAGGGGCAAUCGGAAUUCUUGGUGUAGCGGUGAAAUGCGUAGAUAUCAAGAGGAACACCUGAGGUGAAGACGGGUUGCUGGGCCAACACUGACGCUGAGGCGCGAAAGCCAGGGGAGCAAACGGG